UACGUAGGGUGCGAGCGUUGUCCGGAAUUACUGGGCGUAAAGGGCGCGUAGGCGCCUUCUAAGUCGAACGUGAAAUCCCCGGGCUCAACCCGGGAACUGCGUCCGAUACUGGAAGGCUUGAAUCCGGGAGAGGGAUGCGGAAUUCCAGGUGUAGCGGUGAAAUGCGUAGAUAUCUGGAGGAACACCGGUGGCGAAGGCGGCAUCCUGGACCGGCAUUGACGCUGAGGCGCGAAAGCCAGGGGAGCAAACGGG
rnacentral:rRNA from 1 species